rnacentral:lncRNA from 7 species
CUUCUCUUUUCAGCACAGCUAUGGAGGUGGAACAAUCUUGCAUGGAAUGCUUGUAUGUCUUUCUACGACUACUAGAGUGGUGUGCUGGUGAAAUUAUAUUCUUUCCACCAUUGUAUAACAGAAAGGAAACAUUCCAGGAAGAGGUGGUUGGUGACUCCUCCUGAGACCAGACAGCAUGACCAGGGAAGCCCAGGGUCCUUGCCCAGAACUCCACACUGGGAAAAAGCAAUAGACUGUUAACCAGCUCUUUAUGCUAUUAUUGUUGACCUUGACCUGGAAUGUUUGCUCUCUAAUGAGAAACCUCUCACAUAAAUGUAAUCUCUGAGUUUGGUUUACAGCAAAGAUGGCAGUAAAUUCUAUUGAUAAGGCACAUUGUUUGGGUUCCAGAGACCUAGGUUCUCUCACGUCUUAAGCCAGCUAAACUUGCCUUUGUUUACUCAGAAUUUCAUGAGAAUGUAACACCAAGUCUGAUCUAUGUUUUGAAAAUGUUUGAUUUGUUACUUCUGUGCUGAAACAAUUCAGCUAAACUGUGGGGGAAGCAAAAAACAACAGCAACAAAAACAAAAAAAACCCCUACAGCCAGCAUUUUGAAACUACAGGGAAAUAUGUUCUAAAAAUAUGAACACUUAUAUUUCUUUUAUAUAAGCUAUUUUUCAAUGGUCACUUCCGUGCACAACUGGGAAUUAUUUCUGCCAACAGCUGUUUUGUAAUAUAGAAUAUGUUUUCUUCCUAGAACUUCAUACUUUUCUGUAAAAUAGUUAUAAGCAAUAUUUUUCAUACUUUCCCACAUAAGCUUGAUAUGAUGAUGAGGCACUGUGGAUUUCUUAUAAGUGUUACCUUUAGAAAAAAUGAUAGUUGUAUCUCAUAUUACAAGCAAGAUAGCAAAAUUGACAGCAGUGGUGGAAGCUUUUAAAUGAUUCUCUAAUCUGUAAAUGUGUCUGAAGGACAAGAUGGUGUGUAAUAUAAGUCACAAAAAAUGAGUAGCAGAUACUGGAAGGAUCACUGAGGAACUUGGUUGAAACAGAAUGUGGCUUGGAUUGGAGGAAGAAAGGCUGUCACUGAUACAGGAAUACUUUCUAAGUAGAGAAUGAAAAGAAAUACAGAAUAGGACAAGAAGGCAUUAUGAAGAGUAAUAGGGUACUUAAAAAGCAUAGUUUUCAGUCUGAGGUAGGCUGGUGAGAGCUUCUGGGAGGAGGGGGUGUGAUGGUCCAGAAUAAUGGCUAAUAAAGGGAUCAGUGGUGAAACUGAAAACUGCCCAGCUGGGGAAAUGAUGUUCUCAUCACUUAAGAGAUGUUUCUAUUCUAAACUGGAAGAACAGAUGGCAACAGCUGCCUUCCUGAACGUACAGGUAGAGCAACAAGAAAAAUCCUGUAAAUUGCCUGUAAAGUAUAUAUACAUUUGAAUUGUGCUGGAAAGGGAUAGUCUCCCUAAAGACCAUGUUUCUUGGGAAACAAGAUUAAACAGAAGAUAUAACCUUUGUUGCUGUUUCAUGCCACAUUAAAUUGUUUCUAGUGUAUGGAUAGCUUUUCUUACAAUCAAUAUUCUAGCAUAGGAGUGGUUUGUUAAGAUGCUGGGCAAUGCCUUCCACAGAUGAAUGUUAUCUUACUGAUCAUUAUUAUUUUGAAAUCAUCCACAGUGCCUGAUUUCCUUCAGUAUAACUGACAGUGGGGGUGAUUGCAGGAUAUAUUUGCAUUUGUAACAGGCUUUUGAGUAUAGAUCAAUCAUUGCAUCUUUUUACUUGAUCUGAAAUUUAGGUGGGUUUAACAUAUUACUUAAAUACUGUGGCUGUAUCUAUGAAAACAUCUACAUUAAUCUAGCUGUGAGAUAAGAAGGCUAUUUAGAAUCUCAGUAUUCAUGUUCCUUUAAAGUCUCUUACUUAGCUGUCCAAGCAGAUGAGUUUUUGCUUUUCUGAGUGUUUUUUCUUUUGUUUGCUUUUGUUUUGUGAAACCCAGCCUCUGGGAUUUUGGGAAAAAGAAGAUACAGCAGGAUUCCAUUCAGCUCUGACUGUGGGUUAGUAUGUUUUAAUCCUUCUACCCUUAUGGUGAGAAGGAAAAAUAGGGCUUUGUGGUUUAAAGAAAACCAACAAACUGAAGCAAUUCAUAUGUAAGCACUUAUUUUUUUCAUUAUUUAUAUCUUCAAGAGAAAAUUUCCUCUCUCUAAACAGUUAAUUAUUAGGAUACAGAUCAGGAAAAUGCAGACGUCCUUGCAUAAUAUUUGAUUGGAAUGAGUGUUUAUUUAUCACUGGAAUGGUGCAAUAUUGCAACAGUGAUACUUUCUAGAAAUCAGAGGUUUUUAUCCUUGGAUUGUUAUUUUCUCACUUGUAAUAACCGUCUAAGAUACUUGUACAUCAGUAGUCCAUUAAUCAUCAUUCCUAACUCAGUAGGAAACUAUUUUCUGUGUAUGGAAGGCACAAAGUUCCUCAGUAGCUGUACGAUGAGACGUGCCAUUACUCUUUUAAUCCGUAAAUCUAGACU